rnacentral:ncRNA from 1 species
GAACGCCGUGUGCGGUGAAAGUCGCAUGCACGGUGUGGAGUGGGGGAAAAUCCGGAGGUGGUAAGUACCAAAGGAUUACCUAUCACUAU